UGCUAAAAAUAAUCACUGUCUGCUCACAACAAAAGAGCAAAGAAGCUCAGUGUGAUGAUGUACCAAAAGAAACCAGUUUGAUUCUUUGUUGAACCAUUUCCUCUCACUUCUCUAUAAGGAGCAGGUUAAUUGUUAUGGUCUGCACUAAAAAGCAAAGAAUCUGGUUAUUUCUUACAAUUUUCCUGAUACUUGUAAAAAGUUGAUCUGACUUUUCCUUUGUAAAGUUUAAGCAAUAUUGAACUUUACUAUUACAGUAAAUAGUUAUCUGUCAUUAUUAGCUCAGGGGACUAUGACUGAGGCAAAGCCAAAGGUUUGAUUGACUGUUUCUUGUGAGGUGAUUGACAGACAUAAAACAGCAAACAACUUUUUAGACACCACAACUGAUGUUACCUCAUGUUUUCUUUCCCCUUCCAUCUUCCCUACCUACCUCUCUUCCCCAUCCUCCCCCACACACACCCAUUAGAUAAUUGCUUGAAACAGGGAAUUGAAGUGGGGAGGGGGUGGGAAACUAGCACUUAA
rnacentral:lncRNA from 1 species